rnacentral:rRNA from 1 species
CCUACGGGAGGCAGCAGUGGGGGAUAUUGCACAAUGGGGGAAACCCUGAUGCAGCGACGCCGCGUGUGGGAAGACGGUCUUCUGGAUUGUAAACCACGGUCCCCAGGGACGAAAAUGACGGUACCUGGGGAGGAAGCUCCGGCUAACUACGUGCCAGCAGCCGCGGUAAUACGUAGGGAGCAAGCGUUGUCCGGAAUUACUGGGUGAAAAGGGAGCGUAGGCGGGGAUGAAAGUGAGGUGUCAAACCUACCGGCACAACCGAAAGUCGACUUCAAAAUGCAGCUCUUGAGUGGAGUAGAGGCAGGCGGAAUUCCUAGUGUAGCGGUGAAAUGCGUAGAUAUUAGGAGGAACACCAGUGGCGAAGGCGGCCUGCUGGGCUUUUACUGACGCUGAGGCUCGAAAGUGUGGGGAGCAAACAGGAUUAGAUACCCCUGUAGUC